rnacentral:rRNA from 1 species
GGGCUCAACCUGGGAACUGCAUUUGAGACUGCCAGGCUGGAGUUUGGCAGAGGGGGGUGGAAUUCCACGUGUAGCAGUGAAAUGCGUAGAGAUGUGGAGGAACACCGAUGGCGAAGGCAGCCCCCUGGGCCAAUACUGACGCUCAUGCACGAAAGCGUGGGGAGCAAACAGGAUUAGAUACCCUGGUAGUCCACGCCCUAAACGAUGUCAAUGGUGUUGGG